rnacentral:rRNA from 1 species
AUUGAACGCUGGCGGCAUGCCUUACACAUGCAAGUCGAACGCGAAAGGGGGCAACCCCGAGUAGAGUGGCGAACGGGUGAGUAAUGCAUCGGAACGUAUCCUAUAGUGGGGGACAACCUCGAGAAAUCGAGGCUAAUACCGCAUACGACCCACGGGUGAAAGCGGGGGACCGCAAGGCCUCGCGCUACUGGAGCGGCCGAUGUCCGAUUAGCUAGUUGGUGGGGUAAAAGCCCACCAAGGCAACGAUCGGUAGCUGGUCUGAGAGGACGACCAGCCACACUGGGACUGAGACACGGCCCAGACUCCUACGGGAGGCAGCAGUGGGGAAUUUUGGACAAUGGGGGCAACCCUGAUCCAGCCAUGCGGCGUGCGGGAAGAAGGCAUUCGGGUUGUAAACCGCUUUCGGCCGGAACGAAAUCGCCGGGGACAACACCCCCGGUGGAUGACGGUACCGGAAGAAGAAGCACCGGCUAACUACGUGCCAGCCGCCGCCGUAACAC